rnacentral:rRNA from 1 species
AUCCGGUGCUUGCACCGGGGAUUAGUGGCGAACGGGUGAGUAACACGUGAGUAACCUGCCCUUAACUCUGGGAUAAGCCUGGGAAACUGGGUCUAAUACCGGAUAUGACUCCUCAUCGCAUGGUGGGGGGUGGAAAGCUUUAUUGUGGUUUUGGAUGGACUCGCGGCCUAUCAGCUUGUUGGUGAGGUAAUGGCUCACCAAGGCGACGACGGGUAGCCGGCCUGAGAGGGUGACCGGCCACACUGGGACUGAGACACGGCCCAGACUCCUACGGGAGGCAGCAGUGGGGAAUAUUGCACAAUGGGCGCAAGCCUGAUGCAGCGUCGCCGCGUGAGGGAUGACGGCCUUCGGG